UCCCUGGAGGCUCAGAAGGUAAAGCAUCUGCCUGCAAUGCGGGAGACCCGGGUUCGAUUCCUGGGUCGGGAA
rnacentral:tRNA from 1 species